AGAUUGAACGCUGGCGGCAUGCCUAACACAUGCAAGUCGAACGGGAGUAGCAAUACUCUAGUGGCGGACGGGUGAGGAAUACGUAGGAAUUUGCCCUUAAGUGGGGGAUAACCCGGGGAAACCCGGAUUAAUACCGCAUGACCUCGAAGAGCAAAGUGGGGGAUCGCAAGACCUCACGCUUUUGGAGAAGCCUACGUCGGAUUAGCUAGUUGGUGAGGUAAUGGCUCACCAAGGCGACGAUCCGUAACUGGUCUGAGAGGAUGAUCAGUCACACCGGAACUGAGACACGGUCCGGACUCCGUACGGGAGCAGCAGUGGGAAUAUGGACAAGUGGCGCAAGCCUGACUCCGAGCAAGUGCCGCGUGUGUAGAAG
rnacentral:rRNA from 1 species